rnacentral:rRNA from 1 species
CGAACGCUGGCGGCGUGCUUAACACAUGCACGUCGAACGGAAAGGCCCCUUUGGGGGUACUCGAGUGGCGAACGGGUGAGUAACACGUGAGUAACCUGCCCUUGACUUCGGGAUAACUUCAGGAAACUGGGGCUAAUACCGGAUAGGAAUCCUUGCUGCAUGGUGGGGGUUGGAAAGCUUCGGCGGUUUUGGAUGGACUCGCGGCUUAUCAGCUUGUUGGUGGGGUAGUGGCUUACCAAGGCUUUGACGGGUAGCCGGCCUGAGAGGGCGACCGGCCACAUUGGGACUGAGAUACGGCCCAGACUCCUACGGGAGGCAGCGGUGGGGAAUAUUGCACAAUGGGCGGAAGCCUGAUGCAGCAACGCCGCGUGCGGGAUGACGGCCUUCGGGUUGUAAACCGCUUUCAGCAGGGGCGAAGCUUGUGGUGACGGUACCUGCAGAAGAAGCACCGGCUAACUACGUG